CGCGGGAUGGAGCAGUCUGGUAGCUCGUCGGGCUCAUAACCCGAAGGUCGAAGGUUCAAAUCCUUCCCCCGCCACCA
rnacentral:tRNA from 1 species